rnacentral:rRNA from 1 species
GACGAACGCUGGCGGCGUGCUUAACACAUGCCAGUCGAACGGAAAGGCCCUGCUUGCAGGGUACUCGAGUGGCGAACGGGUGAGUAACACGUGGGUGAUCUGCCCUGCACUUCGGGAUAAGCCUGGGAAACUGUGUCUAAUACCGGAUAGGAGCCAUUUUUAGUGUGAUUGUUGGAAAGUUUUUUCGGUGUAGGAUGAGCUCGCGGCCUAUCAGCUUGUUGGUGGGGUAAUGGCCUACCAAGGCGGCGACGGGUAGCCGGCCUGAGAGGGUGGACGGCCACAUUGGGACUGAGAUACGGCCCAGACUCCUACGGGAGGCAGCAGUGGGGAAUAUUGCACAAUGGGCGGAAGCCUGAUGCAGCGACGCCGCGUGGGGGAUGACGGCCUUCGGGUUGUAAACCCCUUUCGCUAGGGACGAAGCUUUUUGUGCCGGUACCUAGAUAAGAAGCACCGGCUAACUACGU